rnacentral:rRNA from 1 species
AGCGAACGCUGGCGGCAGGCUUAACACAUGCAAGUCGAGCGCUCGUAGCAAUACGAGAGCGGCAGACGGGAGAGUAACACGUGGGAACGCGCCCUUCGGUUCGGAAUAACUCAGGGAAACUUGAGCUAAUACCGGAUACGCCCUAACGGGGAAAGAUUUAUCGCCGAAGGAACGGCCUGCGUCGGAUUAGCUAGUUGGUGAGGUAAUGGCUCACCAAGGCAACUAUCCGUAGCUGGUCUAAGAGGAUGAUCAGCCUCACUGGGACUGAGACACGGCCCAGACUCCUACGGGAGGCAG